AAGACAGACACCUGCAGACCUGCUUCACAGCCUGUGAAGUGACUCCCCUGCAGGUGGGGGGCCUCCAACCAGGAUCCUUAUGCCGGUCCUUGUGCUUUGCGCCACGUGCGCUUAACCUGCUGUGCUACCGCCCUGGCCCCCGUAUUAUUCUUAUCUAAUAUAUCAAGAACAUUUGCUCACAUCAUCACAGAAAUCUUUAACAGUUGAAGACGUCAUUGCAUCAUUUUCCACAUUCUCUUAGGUUGUACCUGGGAGGUUUGUGGGACUAUGUAUUUUUGCCGCCAGGCUUAUUGCGGGGACUCAGCGCCUGCAUGAUGGCUCUCCUGCUCCCAGUGUCCAUUCCUCUUCCUUUUGUCUGAUAGAGACGGAGUGAAACGAGGUAGGGGAGGGGGACAGAGCCACCUGCAGCACUGCGCCGCUGCUUGGGAAGCUCCCACCCUCUGGG